GCAUCGAUGAAGAACGCAGCGAAAUGCGAUACGUAGUGUGAAUUGCAGAAUUCCGCGAAUCAUCGAGUCUUUGAACGCAAGUUGCGCCCGAGGCUUGUCCGAGGGCAUUUCCGCUAGAGCGUCACCGCGCCCCCCCACCGAUCCACUCUCGCCGCGAGGCGCCAGUCGGGUCGAGUGCAAGUGGCCGUCCCGGUGGAGCGGGCCUCCUUUCGCGAGGAGGCCUGACUUGGAAGGGUCGGCUGAAAUGGAUGGAAUCGGGCCGCCGUGGUGACACAGUCCGCGAUCGGGUGAUUUCGUCGCGAGGCUCCUUCGGGAGGUUCUCGGCGAAUUUUUUCUAAGUGCUUGGCUGCGUCCCCCAGUUGGCUCGGGUUACCUCAUGCAGGUCGAGCGCGCCCCCGCGGCGCGCGUCACGCAUCAGACCUCUAAUCGGAA
rnacentral:rRNA from 1 species